rnacentral:rRNA from 1 species
CACGUAGGGGGCAAGCGUUGUCCGGAUUUAUUGGGCGUAAAGAGCUCGUAGGCGGUUCGGUAAGUCGGGUGUGAAACCUCCAGGCUCAACCUGGAGACGCCACCCGAUACUGCUGUGACUAGAGUCCGGUAGGGGAGCGUGGAAUUCCUGGUGUAGAGGUGAAAUGCGCAGAUAUCAGGAGGAACACCAGCGGCGAAGGCGGCGCUCUGGGCCGGAACUGACGCUGAGGAGCGAAAGCGUGGGGAGCAAACAGG